rnacentral:rRNA from 1 species
GACGGGGGAUGCAAGUGUUAUCCGGAAUCACUGGGCGUAAAGCGUCUGCAGGUGGUUUCCUAAGUCCACUGUUAAACCUUGAGGCUCAACCUCAAAUCUGCAUUGGAAACUAGGAGACUUGAGUAUAGUAGGGGUAGAGGGAAUUUCCAGUGGAGCGGUGAAAUGCGUAGAUAUUGGGAAGAACACCGGUGGCGAAAGCGCUCUGCUGGACCUGCACUGACACUGAGGGACGAAAGCUAGGGAGCGAACGGG